rnacentral:rRNA from 1 species
AACCUUUGCAAUGUGCGAAAGCACGACAAGGUUAAUCCGAGUGAUUUCUGCUAAAGAAAUCUUUUGUUAGUCAUAAAACCACUGAUGAAUAAGGGGUGGGCAAGUUCUGGUGUCAGCCGCCGCGGUAAUACCAGCACCUCGAGUGGUCAGGAGGUUUAUUGGGCCUAAAGCAUCCGUAGCCGGCUGCAUAAGUUUCCGGUUAAAUCCACACGCUUAACGUAUGGGCUGCCGGAAAUACUGUUCAGCUAGGGAGUGGGAGAGGUGGACGGUACUCGGUAGGAAGGGGUAAAAUCCUUUGAUCUAUUGAUGACCACCUGUGGCGAAGGCGGUCCACCAGAACACGUUCGACGGUGAGGGAUGAAAGCUGGGGGAGCAAACCGGA